rnacentral:rRNA from 1 species
AUAAACGCUGGCGGCGUGCCUUACGCAUGCAAGUCGAACGGGGCUUCGGACUUCGGUCUGGAGUUCAGUGGCGGACGGGUGAGUAACGCGUAAGCGACCUGCCCAGAAGUGGGGGAUAACCAAUCGAAAGGUUGGCUAAUACCGCAUGAGCUCGUCGGUUCGUUCCGGCGAGGAAAGCCGCAAGGCGCUUUUGGAGGGGCUUGCGUCCGAUUAGCUUGUUGGUGGGGUAAUGGCCUACCAAGGCGACGAUCGGUAGCUGGUCUGAGAGGACGGCCAGCCACACUGGGACUGAGAUACGGCCCAGACUCCUACGGGAGGCAGCAGCGAGGAAUCUUGCGCAAUGGGCGAAAGCCUGACGCAGCAACGCCGCGUGGGGGAUGAAGGCUCUCGGGUUGUAAACCCCUUUUGCGGGGGAAGAAGUUCUGACGGUACCCCGCGAAUAAGCCACGGCUAACUACGU